rnacentral:lncRNA from 1 species
GGAAAAUCAAUCCAAAAACGCAAUGCAGAAAAAAAUUAUAACUAUCAUCCCAAUUCAAUUACACAACUCUAUAAAUACAAGAUUGAACAGUGGAACCUUCUUCUCCAAAUUUUCCAGAAUUUCUUCUUCCCUCUUUCUUUUUCUUCUUGAAUCUUCCACUUUCUUCUUCUUCCCGCGCCUCUAACUAACUUUCACCAGCUUCUCUUCCCUCUCUUUCUGCAAAAUAAAGGCUUCGCUCCUCUUUUCCCAGAUCAUAGCCAAAUCGCACCAUCAUCGGCAUAACAGUUUCUCGUGCAUCCACCUUCAUCCUUCCAUUUCCGAAUUCUGCAAGUUGAAUGUUUUCUUGGUUCAUUCAUCAUAAACGCAGAAGAGGCAAUACCAAUUCAGAGCUAUUGUUGCAAAUCGACGACCAACGCUCACCGAACCUGCAAAUUGUAAUCAUUCGAAAACAAUUCAUCACACACGCACCAAAAUCAUAAUGCAACGAUAACGAGAAGAAACGCGAAGCAUCUGGGAAAGAGAAGGAGAUUCGAGUUCGUACCUGGUUGCGAUUCAGAGUAAUUGCCUUAACUCGUAUCACUUAUUCUCCCUUCCCGUUUCCUUUCACUUGUUAGGAGAUUGAUCAAUUUUAGAAU